rnacentral:sRNA from 1 species
AGAAGGAAAAAAAACUAAAAAA